UCUCAAAGCUCCCAAAGUUUUCCCUUUGGAAAUUUUGACUUGGUGAAUUCUUAUUAACAAAAGCCUUGCCUUUGAGUCAUGGUGAGGGUGUGGGCUGUCUUGUUUGCUUGGUACUGAACAAAAUGGGGCACCAGGUCUGGCCCCAGCUUCACAUAGGCUCCCCUGUUGCUGCCAAUCUCGUAAUAGUUUGAGGCUGAAAAUAUGGUCAGUACCUAAAGAAAGGUAUUUACAGUCAGAAUGUACAUCCUCUGUUAUACGUAUAUAGGUAUCAUGAAAACAGUGCAUUAAUCCUGUCUGAAGUCAACAGAUGAUGAAAGAAACAUUUUCACAGGGAAAGCAAAGAGUGAGGUGAGAGUUCCUCAGGGGUGAUAACAGCCUUGCAUCGACCUGGCCAUAUGCUGAGCUUCUGCAGCUUCUCUGCCCUCUCCCCGCAAAUUUCCACCUUCCACUGCAGUUCAGCUGAGGCCACUGAAGUCACUCUGAGACUUCCAAAAGCAAAACUUUAGGGCAGCAGCUUAUUAUCACUUCUUUUGUAUUUAAUUUUCAGAAACUGCUUUAAUUGCAGGCAAUUGCACAAAUGAAUUCAGGUCUUUUCUCACAUCGGAGAAAUGUGCUUUACCUGUGUAAUGGUUCUUCACAACAGAGAAACUGUUUCUGACUGCCCCAAACUAAGUACUCAGCUAGUAGCAUAUUUCAGUAACUCCUGAUAUGGCUGCUCAAUCAUUUUAUAUAUACUUCAACAACAAAAAAAAAACUAAAACAAAACCAAGCCAACAGCCUACAACACUGGAAGAAAUGAAGAGCAGAGACAACAGCAGGAUGGAAAACCCAGCAUCCUUCCACCACCCCCUCACCAACCUUCCGGUUGUGACAGAACUCAUAGCCAUCUUGCUUGCACUCAUGGGAGCGGAUGAGGAACUGCAGGUUGUACUUCUCAAGGAUCUUCCCCGUCACAUCAGGCCCAAAAUAGCAGCCACCACCUCGCACCGUAUUUUCUCUGCAGCCCUCCUGAGGCAUGGGGUCACUCCAGAGGAUGUCUAAAAUCUGAAAUAAUCAGAGCAGUUCACUGAAUGAUGUGUACCCAUUGACAUUUACUAAGCAAAUGCAGCGCCAUCUCUGCAUCCCUGCUGGGACUGCUGCUGCUACCAUAGCACAGAGAUCUUUCCUGAAUCACAGCUGAAUCUCCAUAUUGCUCUGCAAGACUGUCACAGCCCUGAGCCACCACAAAAGUGAUGAUACUGUUAGCCCAGAGCUGCAGCCACGCCAAAAGCGCCUGAGGAAGAGAGAGAUCUAUGAAUUAGGCCUGAUACAAGCUUUCCCUUUGCUCUUGGUGGAUUUCAAGGAGACUUUUCUGUCUUCCUGCAGCCGAAAACAUGUUCCGGGACAAGUAACCCAGCAGAUCCCCAGACCAAGAGCGGGCUUAGUACUAAACUCCUUUGCAUGACAGUCUAGAUGUUCAGCAGCCUUCACUACUGUAAGUGCUGACUCAGUGACCACUACGUGGAUUAAAGUUUAAUCUCUUUAACCCUGACCUGAAUAUACAGCUUUAUGCUGAUAAGGUGUGUAAUACCAGGAUGUCAUCUGCGAUGGGUGGUGAGGAACAAUGGUUUCAUAGCAUGCAAAAGAAUCUCCCAAACAGUCUGGUCCAACAGAAAGCGGAAAUCAAGUUCCCAGGCUCUGAGAGCAACAUACUCAACGUACAGCUUGGAUAAAACCAGAGAAUCAGUCUGUUCUUAGUAUCCAAGAUCACAACUCCCUUGUCAGCAAACGACGUGUUCACUCAUAGCAUUGGCCUCAAAUAUCCCAUGCACACACUAUAAGUGAUAUAAACACUGGGCUCUAUCAUUAGUCUUGCCUAUCAUUUAUCUCCCCCACAGUGAAUCACAAAAACCUGUCACCCCACUCUGUGCCUGAACAGUUUGAUUUAUACAACAGGGGAGUGCUGUGCUAGGUACAAAUGCUGGAACAGAGCCUGGAGUGCAGACAGCCAAAAACCCAGUGGAGAGGCUGACAUACAGGGCUAGGAGAAAGGCAAUGGCAGAACAGCAGCUAGCACCAGUCACACAGCCUGCAUUCUACAGGAAUCUCAUGCACAGCUCUGCACUUGCUAGUGAUUUAUGCCAUAGGACACGCUGGAAAUAGUACAACAAUCCACCAAAAUGUCCCCAGUGAGCAGAGAACAGAGCAGUUAGUCAAAAAACAGCAGAAAAUCCAUUCGCUCUUCUGAUGGCACUUCAGCACUGACUUGCUCCUUAACUCUACUUUGCAGAGCAGCAAAAAUCUCUUUGCAAAGAGGUCUGUGCAUUGACCCACACACUUUAUAGCAAGAUUCCUCAAAGGAACAGAGAACAAAUCUGUGGAAGGCACCAAAAGCAAAGCCCUGCUUAUACCACUCACCUGCUUCCACUCCUCUUGCCGAGUCCAGCACGGCCCAUCCAAAUCUGUUAAGGAGACCAAACUGGAGCAAGUGAGCUCCUCCUCCUCCGAAUCGCUGAUGUCCACCAACUUGCGGCACCACUCGAUUUGCUCCUGCACUGUCUGCCGGACCCACCUGGAGAACUCCACCCUGUUGGCCAUGCUGGGAGCCUGGGCUGGUCGGGGCUGUGAGGAAAUAAACUGGAAGAGGAAGGAGAGAAAGCACAGAUAGUUAAAUGGCUUGGAAAGCUGGAUCUCUAGCUCUAACAUCUUCAAACAGAAAUCUAUCAAGCGACCAAGGCCACUAAGCUUCAAUUAGUUUUGCUGCUAUGAAAUGGAGAUUAACUGUAGGAGGUUAUUAGUGCCACUUGCUCAGAUGUACCAUUCUUGGCUUAAAGCUAGGGCCACAAACACAGCCUGAAUAUGGAUUCAUCUCUUCUUCAUCAACUUUACACUGCUCAGAAAUUUCAUAAAAGAUAGAUUGCAUGGAGUUAAUCUGCACUUGGAACAAGACAGAAGAAUGAAGGAAAGACAAAUCACUAAUGCAAGUGCUUGCCAUUAUAUUUAGAGAAGGGAAGUAGUAUUUUCUCAACUAGCACAUUUAACACAGAUAAAUUAAAUGACUUCUCACAAUCCCUCUGGAAAUAUGGUGUUUAGAAAAAGAAAAAAAAAAAAAAAGACUAAUGACCUAUGGGAUGACAAGAUCCUGUCAUUGCUGUGUUAUUACUGUCAAUACCACCACACCCAUGUAACAAUGUAACUGUCCACCAUUUACCUGGCUACCAUACUCUCAGCUUCCAGAAGUCAAUAACACUUCUUCCCUUCACAUCUCCUGCACACACCCUAUUAAAUGAAAUCAAUGCGCUCCAAGACCGUACACAAACACACUUUUUGACUACGAAGACCAUCCUUUACAUUUCUCUUGUCAACAGCCAAGUUUACACAUAGGUGUAAGCUCUCAAACCACAAAUCAGCAACACAGAUUGCUCUUGCAACAUCCAGAAAAUAAAACAUACUUUGUUCCUUUGGAUUUUCUCAAGCAUGUCCAGAUCAGUAGUAUCAGAGACACCCCCAUGUAUAACAAGGACUUUCUGAUCAAUCAGGGUGGCCAGAGGUAGCCAGCAGAACACAUUCUGAAUCAUCUUCAAGAUUUUCUUCCCAUGCAACUAGGAGGACAACGCAGAAAGGCAAAGAUGAAGCCUCAGGCCUUCAAAGUCCACAUUUCACUUGCUGCAGAAGACACGAACACAUGCCUACCUUAUAUUUCUGCAUGACUUCCUUUGUGAAACCAUACCUGCAGGAACAGAACAGAAGUUGAGUGGGAUUUUGCAGCAAUACCCUUGACAUUGUCAUUAGCCCCACAAGGAACUCAUACCGUAAGUUGACCAUGUGGUCUUCAUGGUUCCCACGAUUGAGAUGAACCUCUUUUGGAUAUAUCAAAAGGAAGGUAAAGAGGAUGAUGAGAAUCUCAAGGGACUGUUUGCCCCUAUCUACAAAGUCCCCAUUGAACACAUAGGACUUGGAAGGAGAAGGAAGGCCAUUCUGUAAAAGUAAGGACAGGUAUUAUGUUACAAGAAAGGUUUCCCCAUGAUCCUCAUAUACCUUCCCACCAGCUGCAUGCCCUCUUACUGCUGCCCCAAGUUACCUUAUAGAACAGAGCCUAACUUAUUUUUAUCCUCUAGGCUCCCAGUGGCAAAUGCACUGAAAAGUGAAAACAAGGAGUCAGAAGGCGGUGCCAUUGGUAUUAGGACUUUAAGAAGAAAAAAAAAAAAACCCAAAAAACCAUUCACUGGCACUUCCCAAAUGUAUGUGUAUGUUCCAACAGUUCUCACAGAUUUAAAAGUCAGUGAAGGAAUGAGCUUUAGCUUUGUAAAGCCAUUUAAAUUGACCUGGAGAAUUAGAUCUUAAGGGCCCAACUUGCAAAUGCUUCUUAGCAUGAUCCAUGUGAUAGCUUUCAUAAUGUCUGGCCAGCCUCUCCCGCACCAAACAAGGUGCUUACCUUAUAAAAUAUGAGGAACAAGUCAUCCAGCUGGCCAUGCAAAUCUCCUAACAGGCACAAAAAGACAAGUCACAACAUGUUUACCUUUAACUGAAAAAUAUACAGAUAAAUAACUUCCUAUAAAGUAUCUCCUCUAUAAAUUAAUGACCGCUAAAAUACUGGAGGAAGUUCAAGGUUUGGCAUAAGGUUCAAGGUUCCUGUUCCAACCCAAGCUGAAACCAGGCCAUAACGGAAUCUUGCUGCCUACAAGGUUCAGGAGAGUCUAAGCUGCAGAUCAAAUACAGCAUUGGUAUGGUAAACCCAGAUAGUUCAGAGAAAGCUGCAGCUGCCUCUCAACGCAACACUUUACACGCGGACUGCAUUUAUGUUCCACAGUCAUAUGGUACCAAAUCAUAUGUUUGCCAUCCCUUGCACCAAGAAUUCUUCCCCAAAGACUGCGCAGUGCUUUCCCACUCAGACGUACCACACACAGUGACCUCCUCACUGUAGCAGGUGGAGACGUGACUGAUGUUUGGCAAUUGCUUGAGGUGCUUCCUGGUCUCGUGUAGAAGGUUUAAGACAUAGCGAGCGUGGAGCUGCUACUAGGAGAAAGUGAAGGAAUUAAAGCAGGAAAUCAGUGACUUCCAAACAGUAACAGCUGUCUGCAAAGGCCCCAAGGGCCCUCUGCAAUAGCCUGGAUGGGAGACUCGUGCAACUUUUACCAUGACAACAGUCACAGCUUGCAAACAGAACAACACAAAUUCCAGGCAAAAGCAGCUUCACCUUGGCAUCAGCAAAGGUGGCAACAAUAUCCAAAAGCCCUCACACCCUGUGGUGGAUGCAAUCCACUAGACAGCACCAUCCUCUGGAGCAGCAGAAAUUCCAGACUGGUAUCACAGGCGUACUCAAUGGAUUGAAAGAUUCUCCAAGUGCACCGUCGGCGCAUUUCCAGGCGAGCAACAUAGCGCCGAUACCACCUUUGGAUCAGAACAGCUGCCUUGAAAGCUAGGGAACAAAACCAGAGCAACCUGCUGAGCUUCAGUUGCUGCACCGGCUGAGAUACCACCCUGCUAUGCUCCUUUCCUGACCUUUACAGCUGAAGAGAGAUCUUUCUCUUCCAGGAGGAAGUUUUCAGAAAAGGUGUUCUGAUGCCUAAACAUUAAGUAUAAGAGAACACCCACAUCUUUUCACUCUAUUUUGAGAGGUGAUCUCACCCUGCCCAGAGAUCUCUGAAGUACUUCUAUCAAUACCAGAUCUUCAGCACGUUAACAAUUUACUGUUGCCUGCAUGUCUGUAUACAUCCUUCAGCGUCAACAGACAGGUGAAUCCCUUCUAUCUACUGUCAUCAUUUUCAUGUCCCUCCUUACAGUCUAGGCUUUGGGCCAGGCACUUGACUGAGACCGUGCAAAAUGUUGGAGAAUAAAAUAAGAUACUGAGUCCCUUUCCAGAACCUUAAAACUAAAAAAAGUUUUUACCCCCCUUCCUUUAAGCCAAAUAAAUACCCCAGCUUCUGCAUUUGUGGUCGAACAUCAGGAAGUGAUCUGUGUUAGUGUAAACGUUAAUGUUUCAUUAUCUUGGAGUAAAAUAAAGAGAAAGGGGAAAACCAGCUCUUCAUCUGCUUAAUGACAGAAGGAAUGAAAGGCCAGGGGUUUCCACAUGGUUUCAUGGUUCAAUCCACAGCCAACACUGUCACCAGGCUCUUCCCUCCAAACGAUGGCCAUACUACGUGGUGUUUAACACAUAAUUCCUCUGCACGUCUCCAAUUCCAGCAAUUUUCAUUACAAGAUCAUUUCAGUUGGGGUGUGUGCUUUAAAGCAAAGCACACUGGUACAAUUUCCCAUUUACUGUGUGUGCUUUAAAGCAAAGCACACUGGUACAAUUUCCCAUUUACUUCUCUGAAUUCUGCAGCCAAACAUUGUACUUCUCUAGGAACACUUAUAUCUACCUUAGCUGGUCUUACCACUAUUUGAACUGUCUGGUUACUUUACAUUGCCUUUUACUAGUUGGCACCUCUUUUUAUCAGGCUCUGUGUCCCUUCUUGUUCUCAUUUAGAGCCCUGCAUUUAAAGCAUUUCCUAACAGAGCUUCUUUGUAUCAAGCUUCAGCUAGGGGAAGGACAACUGCUCUGCCUAGAGGCUGGCCCCAAAAUCAAACAGACACUACAGUUAGCACAGCUGCAGAAACUUGCAUUCCCUUGGCACAUGGUCUGUGAGAGCAGUGCUGUGUUCACCAGAGCAGGAAGAGCAAUGGGGUGCAC